GACCUCGGUUCAGGUAGGGAUACCCGCUGAACUUAAGCAUAU
rnacentral:rRNA from 1 species